rnacentral:rRNA from 1 species
UGGGGAAUAUUGGACAAUGGGGGGAACCCUGAUCCAGCAAUGCCGCGUGCAGGAUGAAGGCCUUCGGGUUGUAAACUGCUUUUGUACGGAACGAAACGGCGAGCUCUAAUACAGUUUGCUAAUGACGGUACCGUAAGAAUAAGCACCGGCUAACUACGUGCCAGCAGCCGCGGUAAUACGUAGGGUGCGAGCGUUAAUCGGAAUUACUGGGCGUAAAGCGUGCGCAGGCGGUUAUAUAAGACAGAUGUGAAAUCCCCGGGCUCAACCUGGGACCUGCAUUUGUGACUGUAUAGCUAGAGUACGGUAGAGGGGGAUGGAAUUCCGCGUGUAGCAGUGAAAUGCGUAGAUAUGCGGAGGAACACCGAUGGCGAAGGCAGCCCCCUGGGUCAAGAUUGACGCUCAUGCACGAAAGCGUGGGGAGCAAACAGGAUUAGAUACCCAGGUAGUCCCUGAGCGGGCUGGCAAGGCGCAU